GUUUACUAUUAAAGUACCUUCACUUCCUGAGCUGACGCUUCCCGAGUGCCUACUACACGACUGGACCUCAAGGCUGGGUCCUUCAUUGAGCAAUGCGUACUGAACCACUGCAAAAUUAUUGAUAAUCACCACAUGGGGACCUGCAGAUAUUCCCGCUGGACCUUUUCAAAGGGGAAAUGACUUGACCUUGUACAGAGAGGGCGUUGGCACUGCCUCCCGGCUUGAAUUCUGGAGGACAGAACGGACCACAAACAGACAUGCCGAAACACAGAUAAGUGAAGUGCUACCAGGAGAUGACUUGUGAGACGUGGAAAUUCAAACAGUGACGUAGUCCGGGCUGGUUUGGGCUGAGGGCCCUUGAACUUGGCCUCGAUGAUGCAGAACCAGAGAGGAAGACCCACCCCGGGGAAGUAGGAUCUUUAGACCAGAGGGAAGGGUUUUGAUGGCCAGAUGGAAGCUCAUUAAAUUUACUAAUGUGGACAAAGAAAUCCAGAAUGCACCUCCAGUGCAAUAAAGUUAUUUUGAGCUGAAGACA
rnacentral:lncRNA from 1 species